UGGGGAAUAUUGGACAAUGGGCGAAAGCCUGAUCCAGCAAUGCCGCGUGGGUGAAGAAGGUCUUCGGAUCGUAAAGCCCUUUCGACGGGGACGAUGAUGACGGUACCCGUAGAAGAAGCCCCGGCUAACUUCGUGCCAGCAGCCGCGGUAAUACGAAGGGGGCUAGCGUUGCUCGGAAUUACUGGGCGUAAAGGGCGCGUAGGCGGUUCUGCAAGUCAGGCGUGAAAUUCCUGGGCUCAACCUGGGGACUGCGCUUGAGACUGUGGGACUUGGGGAUGGAAGAGGCUCGUGGAAUUCCCAGUGUAGAGGUGAAAUUCGUAGAUAUUGGGAAGAACACCGGUGGCGAAGGCGGCGAGCUGGUCCAUUACUGACGCUGAGGCGCGACAGCGUGGGGAGCAAACAGGAUUAGAUACCCUGGUAGUCCACGCCGUAAACGAUGUGCGCUGGAUGUUGGGUGACCUAGUCACUCAGUGUCGUAGCUAACGCGGUAAGCGCACCGCCUGGGGAGUACGGCCGC
rnacentral:rRNA from 1 species